GACGAAGGGGGCUAGCGUUGUUCGGAAUUACUGGGCGUAAAGGGCGCGCAGGCGGCUCUACAAGUUAGGCGUUAAAGACCCAGGCUCAACCUGGGAAAUGCGCUUGAUACUGUGGGGCUAGAGAUCGGAAGAGGAGAGUGGAAUUCCCAGUGUAGAGGUGAAAUUCGUAGAUAUUGGGAAGAACACCAGUGGCGAAGGCGGCUCUCUGGUCCGAUUCUGACGCUGAGGCGCGAAAGCGUGGGGAGCAAACAGGAUUAGAUACCCUGGUAGUCCACGCCGUAAACGAUGUGUGCUGGACGUUGGAAGGCCUAGCCUUUCGGUGUCGUAGCUAACGCGUUAAGCACACCGCCUGGGGAGUACGGCCGCAAGGUUA
rnacentral:rRNA from 1 species